GACAGCUUGGCCGAGUGGUUAAGGCGACAGACUUGAAUUCCAGGCAAUUCUGACAUCUGUUGGGUUCGCCCUCACAAGUUCGAAUCUUGUAGCUGUCG
rnacentral:tRNA from 1 species